rnacentral:rRNA from 1 species
GACGAACGCUGGCGGCGUGCUUAACACAUGCAAGUCGAACGGUGACCCAUCUUCGGAUGGUGAUCAGUGGCGAACGGGUGAGUAACACGUGGGCAACCUGCCCCUAGCUCUGGGAUAACUCCUCGAAAGAGGUGCUAAUACCGGAUAUCACCUCCCUGGACAUCCAGGGUGGUUGAAAGUUUUUCGGCUAGGGAUGGGCCCGCGGCCUAUCAGCUUGUUGGUGGGGUAAUGGCCUACCAAGGCGACGACGGGUAGCCGGCCUGAGAGGGCGACCGGCCACACUGGGACUGAGACACGGCCCAGACUCCUACGGGAGGCAGCAGUGGGGAAUAUUGCGCAAUGGGCGAAAGCCUGACGCGGCAACGCCGCGUGAGGGAUGACGGCCUUCGGGUUGUAAACCUCUUUCAGCAGGGACGAAGCGAAAGUGACUGUACCUGCAGAAGAAGCGCCGGCUAACUACGUGCCAGCAGCCGCAGUAAAAC